UAGAGCUGGAAGGGGUUGCUGUCAGGGGUCCAGGAACUCCUCUGCCUAGAAAGGAAAGUUAGCAGUGACCAACUGGGAGAGGGACAAGAGCAUGUGGCUGGAUUGGAAGUGGCCACGAAGGUCACAUCUGGCUUGGUGUCCUCACCUCCUGACAUAGGGGUCUGAGUAUCUCCAGUGAUCCCUGCCAGCAUCCACGAGACAGGCAAGAGAAAGAGUGCUUUGUGAAGGCCCUGCAGCAGAAGACAGACACAGAAGUAGAACUUCACGAAGAAGCUUGAUCCCAGGGCCACUGGAGUCUGAGGACCAGGUUUAGGUUUAGGAUGGAGAGCCAUGAUAAUCCAGAAAAUAAUGAGAUAGAUGCCUGAAUUGAUGCCUGUGCCAGAUACCAUCUUCUUCAGCAAUGUGGUUUUACCCUUGACUUCCAGAAAGGAAGGAAGAGCAAUGGCAGCAGUCUUUAAUGAUUGGGGAGUAUGUAUGAGACUCAAUGAUGAGCAACCUCAAACAAGGUGAUAUUUGGAUGGCCACACACACCAACAACAUCAGCAAAACUGGUGUGAAGAAAAAUAUCUAUGUCCUUACAUCUUGGUCUAUACCUGUUAACAACCAGCAUUGCAACAUCACAUAGGCGGGUGGAGGUAGCCAGGCUAGCCCCAAAACACGCCCCAGUCCUCCUUUCCCACUCUGGGAUUGCAGGCAUGAUUGCAACAUUACACCCAGAUCUUCCUCAUUUUAAAAGAGAAAUCACAUCCAGGGAAGAACAUCCCAAGACAACGUAAAGAGCUCAGCAAGUGUGUGUCAUGCAGCCCGGCAGCUCUGUUGAAGCUGUUGCCACAUGGAAAUGCUGGUAACUCUUUAGGGGUGUCUGUGCCUUCUUCACUUGCGCAC
rnacentral:lncRNA from 1 species